rnacentral:rRNA from 1 species
GAUGAACGCUGGCGGCGUGCCUAAUACAUGCAAGUCGAGCGAACGGACGAGAAGCUUGCUUCUCUGAUGUUAGCGGCGGACGGGUGAGUAACACGUGGAUAACCUACCUAUAAGACUGGGAUAACUUCGGGAAACCGGAGCUAAUACCGGAUGAUAUUUUGAACCGCAUGGUUCAAAAGUGAAAGACGGUCUUGCUGUCACUUAUAGAUGGAUCCGCGCUGCAUUAGCUAGUUGGUAAGGUAACGGCUUACCAAGGCAACGAUGCAUAGCCGACCUGAGAGGGGGCGGGGCCACACGGGAACUGAGACAGGGCCCAGACUCCUAGGGGGGGCGACGGUAGGGAUUUUUCCGAAAGGGGCAAAAGCCUGAAGGAACAACGCCGGGUGGUUGAUGAGGUUUUUGGGAUCGAAAAACUUUUUUAUGGGGGAAAACAAUAUGUGUAAGUAACUGUGCACAUCUUGAGGGUACCAAAUAAGAAGCCCCCGGCUAACUACGUG